rnacentral:rRNA from 1 species
UACGAAGGGGGCUAGCGUUGUUCGGAAUCACUGGGCGUAAAGCGCACGUAGGCGGAUUCUUAAGUCAGGGGUGAAAUCCCGAGGCUCAACCUCGGAACGGCCUUUGAUACUGGGAAUCUUGAGUAUGGUAGAGGUUGGUGGAACAGCAAGUGUAGAGGUGAAAUUCGUAGAUAUUUGCUAGAACACCAGUGGCGAAGGCGGCCAACUGGACCAUAACUGACGCUGAGGUGCGAAAGCGUGGGGAGCAAACAGG